GCCCGUCCUAGAGUUGGAGGACGUGAGAAGGAGCGAAGAUGGCGGAGUGAGGCGCCGGGCGGCCGGCUGGCCUGUGGGCCGGUUCGUCGUCGCCGCCGCCGGAGGCCGAGUGCCUCUGCUGGACUGCGCGAGGAACUUUAUCACACAGGAAGAACAUUUUCCUGACAACAGGUGCUUUUAAUUUCAUCUCAAAACAACAUUCUGAACUCAGGACCUGGCAAGAAUUUCUCUGCUGUCUUCUCGAGCGGGUAGUCCUGCUUCUUUUAUCCAGUCACUUUCCUAUUGAAAUAUGGAUAUCUUUCUACACAUUACCUCCAUGGUUUGAAAAGACUGCUUUUCUUUUGUUCACCUCUCAGAUUCCAACACAGAGAAGCCCUUAGGAUGCAGUUGUCCAGCUGAAUUCUCUAGGAAGGAAAAAAAAAA